UUUUUUUUGCUAUAUUACAUAUUUCUGGUGCUCUAAGAAAUGAAGUUUUGUUAUGUUAAAGUUUUGGCAAGGCAUAAUUGGAGAAAAAUCAAACAUUUGAGAAUUUAAUUUUAACUUUUACAUUUCAGAUUAAGCACUAAUGUAAAAGCCAAUAUAUGUUCUUAACCAUUACAUGUAGAUGCAUUUAAAAAUCAACUGAGGGGUGCCUCAGUCAGUUGAGUUAAUCCGACUCUUGAUUUGGCUUGGGUCAUGAUCCCAGGGUCGUGGUAUUGAGCUCUGCUCCGCAUCUGGCUCUGCUCUGAGUGUGGAGCCUGCUUAAGAUCCUCUCUCUCCCUUUUCCUCUAUCCCUCUCCCUUGAUCACAUGUGCGCAUGCUGUCUCUCUCUCAAAAAUAAAUAAACAUCUAAAAUAAAAUUAAAAAACAAAAUUUAAAAAUCAACUGAAAAUUAUAAUUUGCCCUUAUUGUGGGAAUUUCCUUUAGAGAGUCUGGUACUUGUUAAAUUGAAAGUAUGUAAAACAUCUUUGUUACCAAUUGUCUAAUGAUAAUUUUGGUAAUGACACUGUUACAGCCUUCCUUUUCAGAAAAUUCCAUAGUUUUCCUAUUAUUUGCUGUUGGUACAUGACCUAUAUGGUCAAGACUACCACAAAAAGAAAUGGAAUUGCAAUUUAUAUAAGCACUUUUAUUUUCUUUAUGUAUUUAUGUAUUUAUUUUAAUUUUUUAAUUUAAUUUAUUUAAAAAAAUUUUUAUUGUUUAUUUUAUUUUUGAGAGAGAGAGAGAGAGAGAGACAGAGUGCAAGCAGGGGAGGGACAGAGAGAGAGGGAGACAACAGGAUCCAAAGCAGGCUCCAGGCUUCCACCUGUCAGCACAGAGCCCGGCACAGGAGCUUGAAGUCAGGAACUGUGAGAGCAUGACCUGAGCUGAAAUUGGCUCUUAACUGACUGAGCCACCCAGGUGCCCCUUUAAUUUUUUUUUGAGAGAGAGCACACAUGUGCAUAUGAGAGAAUGCAAGCAGGGGAGGGGUAGAAGGAGAGAGAGAAUCUUAAGCAGGCUCCUCCACCAGCACAGAGCCCCAUGCCACUAUCUCCAUCUUAGCGUGAGAUCAUGACCUGAGCUGAAAUCAAGAGCUUAAUCGACUGAGCCACACAGGUACCCUUAUUUGAGCACUUUCAAUCUCCUCUAUCAGUUUCAAUGUUAAAACAGCCUUUAAAAGUACGGUGGUCGUGUUUUGGUUCCUUUUUAAUAUUUUAGUCUGGUGGUUUGCCUCUGUCAGGAGCUCAAUCUUGUGAAUGUUGUUAUUUCUUUAGUUAGAUAUUAAGAGAAUCUAUGUACUAGAAGGGUUCACUACAUUUAAUUUUUUUAUAAAGUACUGUUUUUAAAUUAGAAGGUUUUUAAAAGAUAUACCAGUUUCCAUGUGUUGAGAAAUAUUUAUCAAACACUCUUCUAGGUACUGUGACACUACCCAAAAAAGUCCUAAAGCUUAGAGAGCUUACGUUCUAUUGGUGUGUUGUCUUCCAAUUAAAUACAUUAAUUUCUUUUCCUUCAAAGGCACUGAUAUGGCAUUAUAACCAAUUGUAAAAGAAUGACCUCUAUAGAAUUAUAUUACUAGUUGCAUAAUAUUGUCAUCCUCUGUGCAAAGGAUUGAUUGGCCAAAAGGGUUGAAUAUUAUUUGUGAAAUAUAGAGAGCAUACAGAUAAGCCACCCCAAUAGAGAAAUAUUAUAAAGGAAAAUAAUUCAGAUGGAUUGAUCAUAUGACAGCAAUUUGAAAAACGUACCUUAAACAUAUGCACAGUAAACCUGUAAUACAUUUUUAGGGGGAUGUUAGAAGAAGGAAAGACAAUCAUAUUGCAUAACCUUACUUACACCUAAAGGGAUUUGAGCAAUAAACUUUUUCAAGUUUCUUGGUACUUUCAGUUUCCUACAAGAGUAUUAAUGCUUUAUUUUUAAGCCUGGUUUGUGAAAUUCACUUUGUAAUUCUCCAGAAAUAACAGAUGUGUUGCAUAUCUAUUUAUCCAAACAGAAGAAAUGAAUCUCUGAAAACACAGAAGCCAUGUAAGAGUCACUAAACAACCUUAAAUAUUAGGGUAAAAUCAAGUCUGGCUUUUGACUGCAUUUAACUUACCACUUGAGGUGUUGGUAAAAUCAUUUGCAGUAUUCAAACUGAAAAUGCUAAAGGCAAGUUCUGUGUAUUAAUUUAUUUCCUGUAGUCUUUGGCAGAAUGCUGCUAGUGAAAGAAGGAUACAAAAGGUUACUGUGGCUAGAGAGAAGGAGCAGGAAAAGAUUGUGGACUUUAAGGGCGGUUCCUUGCCUGAGGACAAACAGAACAAAUAUGGACACCCUGUCAAAUAGCCUGUGGUGACACACUGUUGCGCCUAAAGUUUUUGCUAUUUUUAUUCUUUUGAGAAAGAAGUUUAUGAAGAGUUGGGCAUACUACCCAAGAAGUUAGUGUUAUGUGUAUGUGGUGGGAUUCUUUUUUGGUAAAUUUCAUCAGCAUAGAAAUUUAAAAUGUAACUUAAUUUAGCCUUGUGCAGUUAGCUUUCUGGCCAUUGCUGUUACAGAAGAUUGGCAAAAUUGUUUGAAAUGGUGGAGUAUAUACUUGGAGCUUUUUGUUCUACCAGUCUCUUCCCAUAGAACAAUGAGGAUAACUAUCUGGAGAGAAGAUUGAGGAUUAUUUUCUGUGUUUAUGUUGAUUCUUAAUUUUAUUUAUUCAUUUUUAAAUUUCUUAAUGUUUAUUUUUGAGAGAGAGAGACAGACAGACAGACAGAGAUAGGAGCCUGAGCGGGGGGAGGAGCAGAGAGAGGGAGACACAGAAUCCAAAGCAGGCUCCAGGUUCUGAGCUGUCAGCACAGAGCCUGACUGUGGGGCUCAAACUUAUAAGCCUUUGAGCUGUGAGAUCAUGACCUGAGUUGAAGUUGGAUGUUAACCGACUGAGCCACCCAGGUGCCCUGUCUGCUCUGAUCUUUAUUAUUUUCUUCCCUCUGCUAGCUUUGGGUUUAGUUUGUUCUUUUUUUUCUGUUCCUUAUAUUCCCCCCCGCCCACCAGGGCUACUGGCUGCUUGGUUUAUUUUCCACUUGGUGCAAGGCACAUGGUUACAGGGUGUUGGGAAGGCUUGCCUGUGGCUUGGGUAGUAAAAAGUGGCAUUUUCUCAACUUCCUUUUUGGUGUUUUGUUAUUUUGAUGUAAAAGAACACAAGUACUUCUGCCACAGCCCAGCUAGUCUAGGAGGGGAGGGGAGGGGAGGGAAAAGAGGGAAGGGAGGGGCUCUGAUGAGCCUAGAGCCUCCUGAAGCCUGACAGGGGCCCCUCAGGACUGAGGCCCGGUGUUGGCUUUGCCAGGCUGGCCACCAGGCUGCUUCCUCAUGGCUUCCAGAGCCAGGUCUCAGGUGAUCGAGCUGCCGAAGUCCUGGGGAGAUUCCCAACGCUCUGGGGACUCCAACACUGUAUCCAUGAAUGGGAGAGUGGACUUCCUGAAAAAGAAGCUUGCCCACCAGUGACCUCGGUCGGCCUUGGGGAGACGCCAGUAAUAGUCAUGGGUGGCCACGAGUGAGCUGCUGGAGGAGAUGACUGCCAUGCUGUUGCUUGUGGGCCUGUGGAAACCUCUGUGGUGACCCCUUGCAGGCCUCGUUGUGCAAUAACAGGUGGGAGGGACAGGGACGCUAGGCCACGGAGCCCUUUUGCAGAGGAGACCCCCCAAGGCUGCUCCACGACCAAAGUGCAUGCGGAGUCUCUGUUCCUUAUGUUCUAAAGUUAGGUUGUUGAUCUGAGAUCUUUCUUGUAUUUUAAUAUGUGCAUUUAUAGCUAUAGGGGUGGCUGGGUGGCUCAGUUGGUUAAGCAGCCAACUUUGGUUCAGGUCAUGAGCUCACAGCUUGAGGGCUCAUGGGUUCGAGCCCUGCAUCAGUCUCUGUGCUAACAGCACAGAGCCUGGAGCCUGCUCUCAAUUCUGUGUCUCCCUCUCUCUCUGCCCCUCCCCUGCUUGUGCUCUGUCUGUCUGUCUCUCUCUCUCUUAAAAAUAAAUAAACAUUAAAAACAAAUUAAAAAACAUUUUCCCUUUGGCACCGCUUUUGCUGUGUCCUGUAAUUUUUAGUAUGUUGUGUUUUUCAUUUUCAUUAUUCUCUAGAUAGUUUCUAGUUUGCCUUAUGAUUUCUUCUUUGAGCUAGUGGUUGUUUAAAAAUGUGUUAUUUCGGGUGCCAGGGUGGCUCAGUUGGUUAAGCAUCUGACUCUUGAUUUCAGCCCAGGUGAUGAUCUCACAGUUGUAAGAUUGAGCCCUGUAUGGAGCUCCGUCCUGGGCAUGGAGCCUGUUUAAGAUUCUCUCUCCCUCUCUCUUUGCCCUGUCCCCUGCUUGCUCUUUCUCUCUCUCUCAAAAAGUGCAUGUUUCAUUUACACAAUUUUGUGAAUUUUUCAGUUUUCUUUUUUUUAUUGAUUUCUAACCUUUUCCCAUUGUUGACAGGGAAGAUACUUUGUAUAUCUUUUAAAAACUAUUGAGACUUCAAUUUGUGGUGGCCUCUAAUGUAUGGUUUUUCUUGGAAAGUGUCCUAUGUGUGCUUGGGAAUAAUGUGUGUUCUGUUGUUAUUGGGUACAGUGUUCUGUUUAUAAUUGUUAGGUCUAGUUAAUUUUGUUGUUGUUUAAGUUUUCUCUAUUUCCUAACAUUCUAUCUGGUUGUUCUGUUUAUUUUUGUGAGUGAGAUUUUGAAGUCUUUAUUAAUUUGGAGUAUCUAAUUCUCCUUUUAGUUCUAUCAGUUAUUGCUUCAUAUAUUUUGAUGAUCUUUCAUUAGGUACAUGAACAUUUAUAAUUAAUAAGUAUUCUCAUUGUAUUGAAACUUUUAUUAAUGUAUGAUGUUCUCUUUGUCUCAUGACCUUUAUUUAUUUUUAUUUUUUUGAGUUUAUUUAUUUUUGAGAUAGAGGAGGGGCGGGGGGCAGAGAGAGACAGAGAGAGAGUCCCAAGCAGACUCCGCACUGUCAGCACAGAGCUCAGUGCAGGGCUGGAAACCAUGAACUGUGAGAUCAUGACCAGAGCAGAAAUUGAAUUGGACGCUUAGCCAACCGAGCCACCCAGGCAUGCCUCAUGACCUUUCUUGACUUAAAAUGUAUUUUGUCUGAUAUUAGUGUAGCUCUCUUUUGGUUGCUAUAUGCAUGCAAUAUCUUCUUUUUACUUUACUUCAACCUGUUUAUGGCUUUGGAUUUCAAGUGAGUCUUGUGUAGACAACAUAUAGUUGGAUCAUGUAUUUCUACCCAUGCCAAUCUGUUUUUUUAUUGGAGUGUUUAAUCCAUUUAUUAAAGUAAUUACUGAUAAGGACUUAAUUAUGUCAUUGUGCUCUUUGUUUACUGUGUGCCUUAUAGCUUUUUCAUUCCUUAUUUUCUGAAUUACUAUCUUUUGUGUUUAUUUCAUUUUUUUGUAGUGAAAUGUUUAAAUUACUUUCUCAUUUCCUUUUAUGUAUAUUCUAUAGCUAUUGUGUUUGUAAUUAGCAAGGGAAUUACAUUUAGCAUCCUAAAGUUAUGACACUCCUACUUGAAUUUAUACCAGCUUAACUUCAGUAAUAGAAAAGCUGCUCUUUUAAGGCACCAUUCCCACCCUUUUCACUUGCUAAUAUCCCAUAAUUACAUUUUAAUACAUUGUAUGCCCCAAAAUAUAAACAAGUAAUUUUCAAAAUGUAUUUAGUCUCUUAAAUUAUGUAGAAAACAGGAUUUGAGUUACAAAUCAAAGUUACACUAAUACUUGCUUUUAUGCUGAUAAUUUUUUUCUUUAAAUGUAUCAAUCAUGUAAAUCAUAUACAAAACAAAAAGUAUAGUUACAAAUCAUUGUUACAAUAAUACUGUAUUUUGUAAUUGUCCACAUAUAUACCUUUAGUGAGAUCUUUAUUUCUUCAUACAGCUUCAAGCUACUAUCUGGUGUCCCUUCCUUCCACCCUGCAGGACUCCCUUGUGCAUUUCCUGCAAGGCAGGUCUAGUGCUCACAAACUGACUCAACUUUUGUUUACUUGAGAAUGUCUUUAAUUUCUCCCUCAUUUUGAGGGACAGUUUUGCCAGAUACAGAAUUCUUAGUUGACAGGUUUUUUCUUUUAGCACUUUGAAUAUAUAGAACCACUGUCUUCUGGCCUUCAGAGUUUUUGAUGAGAAGUCUGUUAGCAUUCUUUGUUUUUCAUUCAUUCAUUCAUUCAUUCAUUUUUAAACUAUUAUUAUUAUUUUUUAUUUUAGAGAGCAGGAGUCAGGGAGAAGGGCAGAGGUAGAGAGAGAGAUUCUCAAGCAGGCUCCACACUCAGCCCAGAGCCUGAUGCAGAGCUUGAUCCCAUGACCCUGGGAUCAUGACUUGAGCCGAAAUCAAGAGUCAGAUGCCCAACCAACUGAGCCACCCAAGUGCCCCUACAAGAAUUUCUCUCUUUGUUUUUUGACAGUUUAAUUAUAAUAUGUCUCAGUGUGGGUCUCUUUGAGACGUAUCCUACUUGGAAUUCAUUGAACUUCUUGGAUAUUUAUAUGUCAUUCAUCAAAUUUGGGAGGUUUUCAGGCAUUCUUCAAAUCUCUGUCCCAUUCUCUCUUCUCCUUCUGGGACUCACAUGAUGCAUAUAUUAGUCUGCUUGAUGGUGUCACACAGGUUCCAUAGGCUUUAUUUACUUUUUUCCCAAUCUUUCUCUUCCUCAGACUUGAUAAUUUCUGUUGUCCUAUUUUUGAGUUCACUGAUGUUUCUUCUGCCUGCCCAAAUUUGCCAUUGAAUCCCUCUACUGAAAUUUUCAUUUCAGUUGUAUACUUUUCAGCUCCAGAAUUUGUUUUUGGUUUCUUUUUAGGUUUUUUAUUUCUUUAUUGAUAUUUCCAUUUUGUUCACACAUUGUUUUAAUUUCUCCAUACUUUAGUUCUUUGAGCAUUUGUAAGUCCCUUGUUUUAAAGACUUAGUCUAGUUUAUACACUAUAAGUUCUUUUUUUGGGAAUAGCUUCUGUUGAUUUAAUUUUUUUCUAUGAACAAGCCUUACUUUCUUUGUAUGCCCUGUGAUUUUUUUUGUUGAACAUGAGACAUUUUAGUCUAAUAAUGUAACUCUGGACCUCUCCCCCUUACUCAAGGUUUAGUUUUUGUUUUUUUGAUUGUCGUAGGCUCUCUCUGUGCUGAGAAUCGGCCUGAGGGGUAAACUUAAGGUCUUACCAAGUUUUUUUCCUGAGGCUUUCCCUGUCCAUACAUGGUCACUUUCUAAUUUUCCUGCAUAUGCAUAUUCUAGUCAUGAUCUAGUCAUUCAUUUGAAUGUUCUAGUCGUUAAAGUCUAGCUUCUGAAAGGGAAAAAAAGCCAAAAAAAAAAAAAAUGAAGGUGAGGAAAAGGGUGCUACUUCCUUAAAUUUCCUGUAAAUCAUUUAGUGGGGCUUGCAACACUUGGGAGAGGUACAACAAAAUGGCUGCCUUCCUCUUUGUCUCUACCUCUGUGAUCAGAAGCAGCAGUUAGCAAUCUAACAGAUUUCCAAUAUUUGGAGGCGAGGGUCCUUUUUGCCCGCCUUGGUUUCCACAAGCUCUGUGCGAGCUUCUCCAGGAACAUGUACACAGCUGUUGGCCAUGUGUCUGGAGGAUGAAUAGCUGCUAAUCUGCUAAGAGCUGAAAUUGACUGAAAUUAGCCAGAAUUUACUCUUCCAAAUCUUCCCCUGGAAGUUACAAGCCUUCAGCCUCUCCAGAGUUCCAAAAUAGUUACAGCAGACAGAUUCUGCCGCAAUAGUUAUCCUCUAGGUGGGGAGACAGAUUCCUGGGGCUUCCUACUCUACCAUCUUCCCAGAAUCCUCUGCCUGUUGCCUUCUUUUUAACCAAGAGUCUAGUGUGUUUCUGACUUUAACUCUGAUUACAAAUUUGUGUUUUUGAUCUAGGGAGAUAGUUAUUUCAUUUAAUGUCUAUUUUUGUCUUGUUUGUUUUCUUUUUUAAAUUAAUGUAUUUUUUAUUUGAUUUGUAGGUUUUGAGUGGGAUGGGUAGAUAAUACAUGAAAACAUGAAUUUAUUAUAUGAUCUUAAAGUCUUUCUUAGUCUUUUUUAAAAUGUUUAUUUAUUUUUGAGAGAGCAUGCACAGGUGCGCGGGGGAGGGACAGAGAAGGGGACAGAAGAUCCACAGCUGGCUCCAUGCUGACAGCAGAGAGCCCAAUACGGAGCCUGAACCCACAAACUGUGAGAUUGUGACCUGAGCCGAAGUUGGAUGCUAAACUGACUGAGCCACCCAGGCAUCCCAAAAGAUUUCUUACGUUAAUCAAGGAUUACUUGAGGGUAUGGCAAACCUGACAUCGUUUCUUUAACUGUAGGUUUUCACUGUCUUGGAAAGAGAAUCAGUGCUCAGAUUUCCAGAAAUUUGAGUGUUGGCAGUAAAACAACAACAACAACAACAACAACAACAACAACAAAAAC